rnacentral:rRNA from 1 species
AUGGGCUGUCUUGCAGUGUCUGCGACAAGAGGGGAGGAGUGCUUUGCAAUCUCAACGUACCCUGUUCAUCAGAGACAUGCUCUCAGAGCUCUUCACCAACUGGACCAUCUACACCAAGAAGCAACGGCGCUGGUGACACUGCUGUUCGUGAUCGCGGUCAACUUGGUGAUUGGCAUCCUGCCGCAUGCGCCCGGCGCCAUGGAGUACCUCACGGGCGUGCUCGCCUCCCCCAGCAUCCCGAUCUCAACGAGCCUAGCGGUCGCCGUCCUUGUCCUGCUCGAGGAGCAAGGGGAGGGGCGCAUCUAG